rnacentral:rRNA from 1 species
CAGUAGCCGCGGUAAUACGUAGGUGGCAAGCGUUGUCCGGAAUUAUCGGGCGUAAAGGGCUCGCAGGCGGUUUCUUAAGUCUGAUGUGAAAGCCCCCGGCUCAACCGGGGAGGGUCAUUGGAAACUGGGAAACUUGAGUGCAGAAGAGGAGAGUGGAAUUCCACGUGUAGCGGUGAAAUGCGUAGAGAUGUGGAGGAACACCAGUGGCGAAGGCGACUCUCUGGUCUGUAACUGACGCUGAGGAGCGAAAGCGUGGGGAGCGAACAGGAUUAGAUACCCCAGUAGUCCCUGUCUCUUAUAC